AAAAAAUAUUUAAAACGUGCUAUAAUGGAAUGCAUCAUUGCACAAACAUUUCACAUCAUGGACGGACCGACCCAAAAAUCCCUCAGCUCCAUGCCCGGCCCUAUUAUGGGCACCACAGGACUUCGUAUUGCCCGGCCCUAUUAUGGGCACCACAGGACUUCGUAAAUCGGAGCUAUUGCCCGGCCCUAUUAUGGGCACCACAGGACUUCGUACACAGGACUAGUGAGUCGUGCAAUGUCCCUCCUCAUCAACCACAAUAUAAUAAUGCAAUGUAGCAUAUUCGUGAUUCUAAUGCAAACAUCCUAUAUUAUAGUCAUGAUGCAUGAAACAUGAUAAAAGCAUUUCGUUUCUUAAUUUAAAAAGGUUAAGUUUAGUUCCACUCACCUCUGGCUGACUCUGUCAAACUCUCAGCAGCUGGCUCACUGCUGGGGUCCUUGGUUCCUCGGGUCCGAACCUACACAGGUGGACUCCAAU
rnacentral:lncRNA from 1 species